GACGAACGCUGGCGGCGUGCUUAACACAUGCAAGUCGAACGGAAAGGCCCUGCUUUUGUGGGGUGCUCGAGUGGCGAACGGGUGAGUAACACGUGAGUAACCUGCCCUUGACUUUGGGAUAACUUCAGGAAACUGGGGCUAAUACCGGAUAGGAGCUCCUGCUGCAUGGUGGGGGUUGGAAAGUUUCGGCGGUUGGGGAUGGACUCGCGGCUUAUCAGCUUGUUGGUGGGGUAGUGGCUUACCAAGGCUUUGACGGGUAGCCGGCCUGAGAGGGUGACCGGCCACAUUGGGACUGAGAUACGGCCCAGACUCCUACGGGAGGCAGCAGUGGGGAAUAUUGCACAAUGGGCGGAAGCCUGAUGCAGCAACGCCGCGUGCGGGAUGACGGCCUUCGGGUUGUAAACCGCUUUCGCCUGUGACGAAGCGUGAGUGACGGUAAUGGGUAAAGAAGCACCGGCUAACUACGUGCCAGCAGCCGCGGUGAUACGUAGGGUGCGAGCGUUGUCCGGAUUUAUUGGGCGUAAAGGGCUCGUAGGUGGUUGAUCACGUCGGAAGUGUAAUCUUGGGGCUUAACCCUGAGCGUGCUUUCGAUACGGGUUGACUUGAGGAAGGUAGGGGAGAAUGGAAUUCCUGGUGGAGCGGUGGAAUGCGCAGAUAUCAGGAGGAACACCAGUGGCGAAGGCGGUUCUCUGGGCCUUUCCUGACGCUGAGGAGCGAAAGCGUGGGGAGCGAACAGGCUUAGAUACCCUGGUAGUCCGCGCUGUAAACGGUGGGUACUAGGUGUGGGGUCCAUUCCACGGGUUCCGUGCCGUAGCUAACGCUUUAAGUACCCCGCCUGGGGAGUACGGCCGCAAGGCUAAAACUCAAAGGAAUUGACGGGGCCCCGCACAAGCGGCGGAGCAUGCGGAUUAAUUCGAUGCAACGCGUAGAACCUUACCUGGGUUUGACAUGGAUCGGGAGUGCUCAGAGAUGGGUGUGCCUCUUUUGGGGUCGGUUCACAGGUGGUGCAUGGCUGUCGUCAGCUCGUGUCGUGAGAUGUUGGGUUAAGUCCCGCAACGAGCGCAACCCUUGUUCACUGUUGCCAGCACGUUAUGGUGGGGACUCAGUGGAGACCGCCGGGGUCAACUCGGAGGAAGGUGGGGAUGACGUCAGGUCAUCAUGCCCCUUAUGUCCAGGGCUUCACGCAUGCUACAAUGGCUGGUACAGAGAGUGGCGAGCCUGUGAGGGUGAGCGAAUCUCGGAAAGCCGGUCUCAGUUCGGAUUGGGGUCAGCAACUCGACCUCAUGAAGUCGGAGUCGCUAGUAAUCGCAGAUCAGCAACGCUGCGGUGAAUACGUUCCCGGG
rnacentral:rRNA from 1 species